rnacentral:rRNA from 1 species
CCCUUAGAUGUUCUGGGCCGCACGCGCGCUACACUGAAUGGAUCAACGUGUUUUCCCUUCCCGAGAGGGACGGGUAACCCGCUGAACCCCAUUCGUGGUAGGGAUCGGAGCUUGCAAUUGUUCUCCGUGAACCAGGAAUUCCCAGUAAGCGCAAGUCAUAAGCUUGCGUUGAUUACGUCCCUGCCCUUUGUACACACCGCCCGUCGCUCCUACCGAUUGGGUGCUCCGGUGAAUUGUUUGGACUGCUGUCAGUCUUUUUGGCUGUCGGCGAGAAGCUCUGUGAACCUUAGCACCUAGAGGAAGGAGAAGUCGUAACA